CCUACGGGGGGCAGCAGUGGGGAAUAUUGGACAAUGGGGGGAACCCUGAUCCAGCCAUGCCGCGUGUGUGAAGAAGGCCCUCGGGUUGUAAAGCACUUUCAGUGAGGAAGAACGCCUGGUGGUUAAUACCCAUCAGGAAAGACAUCACUCACAGAAGAAGCACCGGCUAACUCCGUGCCAGCAGCCGCGGUAAUACGGAGGGUGCGAGCGUUAAUCGGAAUUACUGGGCGUAAAGCGCGCGUAGGUGGCUUGAUAAGCCGGUUGUGAAAGCCCCGGGCUCAACCUGGGAACGGCAUCCGGAACUGUCAAGCUAGAGUGCAGGAGAGGAAGGUAGAAUUCCCGGUGUAGCGGUGAAAUGCGUAGAGAUCGGGAGGAAUACCAGUGGCGAAGGCGGCCUUCUGGUCUGACACUGACACUGAGGUGCGAAAGCGUGGGUAGCAAACAGGAUUAGAUACCCCAGUAGUC
rnacentral:rRNA from 1 species